UUACACCAAAAUAGGGAUACAUAGCAAAAUAUGGGAAGUUUCACGUGAGGCUCAAGCGUACAUUUGUUGAUAUAUCCAAUAGUAUCAUUGAUAUGAUGAACACGUAGGGACGUAGAGCAUAGCAGUCAACUUACACCAAAAUAGGGAUACAGAGCAAAAUAUGGGAAGUUUCACGUGCUGCCUCAGAGAAAUGACAUUAACUUUUCUCACGCUGAAAC
rnacentral:lncRNA from 1 species